rfam:Sporanaerobacter sp. PP17-6a isolate PP176A genome assembly, contig: PP17-6a_contig1
AUAAUGAUACUUCUAUACGUUGUUGCUUCCCGCCGGGAAAAGGGGAGAGGUGAAAUUCCUAUGU